rnacentral:rRNA from 1 species
AUUGAACGCUGGCGGCAUGCCUUACACAUGCAAGUCGAACGGCAGCACGGGGCAACCUUGUGGCGAGUGGCGAACGGGUGAGUCAUGCAUCGGAACGUACCUUUCAGUGGGGGAUAACGUAGCGCAAGUUAAGCUAAUACCGCAUAUUCUGUGAGAAGGAAAGCAGGGGAUCGCAAGACAUUGCGCUGAUUGAGCGGCCGAUGUCAGCUUAGCUAGUUGGUGAGGAAAAGUCUCACCGAGGCGACGAUCUGUAGCGGGUCUGAGAGGAUGGUCCGCGACACUGGAGCUGGGACACGGUCCAGACGCCUACGGGAGGCAGCAGUGGGGAAUUUUGGACAAUGGGGGCAACCCUGAUCCAGCCAUGCCGCGUGAGUGAAGAAGGCCUUCGGGUUGUAAAGCUCUUUCGGCCGGGAAGAAAUCGCACGGGCUAAUACCCUGUGUGGAUGACGGUACCGGAAUAAGAAGCACCGGCUAACUACGUGCCAGCCGCCGCCGUAAUAC